rnacentral:rRNA from 1 species
AUUGGACGCUGGCGGCAGGCCUAACACAUGCAAGUCGAACGGUAGCACAGAGAGCUUGCUCUUGGGUGACGAGUGGCGGACGGGUGAGUAAUGUCUGGGAAACUGCCCGAUGGAGGGGGAUAACUACUGGAAACGGUAGCUAAUACCGCAUAACGUCUUCGGACCAAAGUGGGGGACCUUCGGGCCUCACACCAUCGGAUGAGCCCAGAUGGGAUUAGCUAGUAGGUGGGGUAAAGGCUCACCUAGGCGACGAUCCCUAGCUGGUCUGAGAGGAUGACCAGCCACACUGGAACUGAGACACGGUCCAGACUCCUACGGGAGGCAGCAGUGGGGAAUAUUGCACAAUGGGCGCAAGCCUGAUGCAGCCAUGCCGCGUCUAUGAAGAAGGCCUUCGGGUUGUAAAGUACUUUCAGCGGGGAGGAAGGCGUUAAGGUUAAUAACCUUGGCGAUUGACGUUACCCGCAGAAGAAGCACCAGCUAACUCCGUGCCAGCCGCCGCGGUAA